rnacentral:ribozyme from 1 species
GACAACGGCGGGCGGAUUUUCAAGCUCGUCGCGGAUUUCUUGGUAACCUUCGACAAAGUCCAGGACGACGCGAAGCGCGAAGUCGCGGCGGAGACGAACCGCGUGAAACGCGAAGCCGCCGCCGUGAAACGCAAAGAGGACGACUUGAAAAGAAAAGAACAAGAAGGCG